rfam:Bacteroidetes bacterium R-53146 genome assembly, contig: Ga0061079_103
UAUAUUUGCUGCUCAAUACAUAAUAAUCAUUAAAAUAAUAUUGGCAUG